UGCUUGUUUCUUCUCUACCCCAUUC
rnacentral:piRNA from 1 species